AACGUACGCUGGCGGCACGCCUAACACAUGCAAGUCGAACGCAGUAGCAAUACUGAGUGGCAGACGGGUGAGUAACAUGUGGGAAUCUGCCUUGUGGUUCAGGACAACAUUGGGAAACCGAUGCUAAUACUGGAUAAGCCCUUACGGGGAAAGUUUUAAUGCCAUAAGAUGAGCCCGCAUUUGAUUAGUUAGUUGGUGAGGUAAUGGCUCACCAAGACAAUGAUCAAUAGCUGAUCUGAGAGGAUGAUCAGCCACACUGGGACUGAGACACGGCCCAGACCCCUACGGGAGGCAGCGGGGGGGAAUCUUGCACAAUGGAGGAAACUCUGAUGCAGCGAUGCCGCGUGGGUGAAGAAGGCCUUUGGGUUGUAAAGCUCUUUUGUAGGGGAAGAUAAUGACUGUACCCUAAGAAUAAGGUCCGGCUAACCUCGUGCCAGCCGCCGCGGUAA
rnacentral:rRNA from 1 species